GCGUGCCUAAUACAUGCAAGUCGAACGCUUCUUUUUCCACCGGAGCUUGCUCCACCGGAAAAAGAGGAGUGGCGAACGGGUGAGUAACACGUGGGUAACCUGCCCAUCAGAAGGGGAUAACACUUGGAAACAGGUGCUAAUACCGUAUAACAAUCGAAACCGCAUGGUUUUGAUUUGAAAGGCGCUUUCGGGUGUCGCUGAUGGAUGGACCCGCGGUGCAUUAGCUAGUUGGUGAGGUAACGGCUCACCAAGGCGACGAUGCAUAGCCGACCUGAGAGGGUGAUCGGCCACAUUGGGACUGAGACACGGCCCAAACUCCUACGGGAGGCAGCAGUAGGGAAUCUUCGGCAAUGGACGAAAGUCUGACCGAGCAACGCCGCGUGAGUGAAGAAGGUUUUCGGAUCGUAAAACUCUGUUGUUAGAGAAGAACAAGGAUGAGAGUAACUGUUCAUCCCUUGACGGUAUCUAACCAGAAAGCCACGGCUAACUACGUGCCAGCAGCCGCGGUAAUACGUAGGUGGCAAGCGUUGUCCGGAUUUAUUGGGCGUAAAGCGAGCGCAGGCGGUUUCUUAAGUCUGAUGUGAAAGCCCCCGGCUCAACCGGGGAGGGUCAUUGGAAACUGGGAGACUUGAGUGCAGAAGAGGAGAGUGGAAUUCCAUGUGUAGCGGUGAAAUGCGUAGAUAUAUGGAGGAACACCAGUGGCGAAGGCGGCUCUCUGGUCUGUAACUGACGCUGAGGCUCGAAAGCGUGGGGAGCAAACAGGAUUAGAUACCCUGGUAGUCCACGCCGUAAACGAUGAGUGCUAAGUGUUGGAGGGUUUCCGCCCUUCAGUGCUGCAGCUAACGCAUUAAGCACUCCGCCUGGGGAGUACGACCGCAAGGUUGAAACUCAAAGGAAUUGACGGGGGCCCGCACAAGCGGUGGAGCAUGUGGUUUAAUUUCGAAGCAAC
rnacentral:rRNA from 1 species